UCCCCAAUGUAUCUCGCGCACACGCAUGCACGCAAUCACACGCACGCGUUUCGUUGUCGGAAGGUAACAAUGAAACUGACAAACUAUUCGAUCGAUUAACUUCUCGUCCAUGUAAGUCAAGUAUAUGGACGUGCAGUUUCGGAAUGUUAACUCUCUUGCUAGUCAGUGUUACUGCACUGAGCAGAAAAGUCUAUUUUGUGACCAACUUCAAACGGGAACCCUCGAUAUCUCACUUCGAUCCUGCUGCAGCAAUGCCGUGAAGAAAAGCUGCUCAACUGCUCUAGUAUUCAGCCUUCUGAAUCAGCCACAUGUCUUCUGUGAGCCUUUAGGAGAAAAAAAGAAAGAAAUUGCAAGGAAAGGAUCUGGAAUCACUUGGGCCAUGAUACUAACUCACCACAAGCUAGACCUUCUAAACGCAGGUGCAUUUAUACUACAAUCAACUGAGACCACUUGACUACAUUGGAUUCAAAAGGAUUAAGCCAGUUUAGGAUCACCAAUUAACCUUCUGUAUAAUACACAGGAGAUAUGAAAGUGAAACCAGGAAAACCCAAAAGAGGACAUAUACUGUAUUGAGGCAUAAUUUGGAAGUGUGGCUUAUUAAGUACUGUUCCUUAAAUGUGGAAGUAUAUAGUUUGUGGUGAAGAUUGUGGUGAAGAAAAAUCAGGAACAUCAUAACAGCCAUUGACAAGAACAACCAUAUUGAAAUGAGAAGAGCUUGCAUAUUAAAAGCACUUAUCAUUAUCUGAAGACAUCAUAAAAGAGUACCUUGAUAUUGCAGACAGCCAGGAAGCCAUGAACCAGACACCCAUAGGCAUAUUUGUCAUCAUACAUGAAGGAGCAGAACCCACUGAUGACUUUGAGGAUGUUGGAAUAAUUAUCGAAGGUGUUGAAGUGAUGCACAACCUACACAACAUUGCAAAUGCAUUUGCUAUUUUGUUUGGCACAAUGUAUGCACUGAAUUUGAGCCACCCACAAUAUUUGAGAUUUACCUUUGAGGUUCUGCAGAAGAUAGUUAUUGAACUAGAUGGGGCCAAACUAUCAAACAAGGCCCAAGUGCUAAAAAACAAACUGUUUAAAGCAACAGCUUAGGCUUACGAGAUGCAAUAGGUGUUGCACACCACAGUUUAUUUGUGUUUAUUUGUUUUUUUGUUGUUCUUUUCCUAACUAAUCCUGUUUAAAGGAAAAAUUUAAGGCACUUUGUUUUUUUUUUUGUUUUUUUUAAAAGGGACAGGCUGUUUUUUGUUGCCACCACUGUUAAAUGUGAUUUCAGCCUAUUUUCCAUGACUUUUAUCAGUGUUAUAAAGACCAAUAUAUCAUUUUAUAUAAUAUUUUUUUAUUUGAUGUUUAUAUUGUUACUGUAUAUAAUUCAACUUUGUAUUUUGUAGCUUUGUUAAUAAAUGCAGUUAAAAAGGUA